CAGAGUUUUUAACUCCCAAACCCUUUGUGAACUUACCAUUCUGUUGCCUCGGCGGGCCUCUGGGAUUCGUCCCAUGUCCGCCGGCGGCCCCUAUAAACUCUGUUACUUAUAAGCAAUCUGAGUGUAUUCCAAAAAUAAAGUUA
rnacentral:misc_RNA from 1 species